AUCGCUUCUCGGCCUUUUGGCUAAGAUCAAGUGUAGUAUCCGUUCUUAUCAGUUUAAUAAAACAAAACCCCAGUCUUUCAGUAGCACUUGAAGUUGCAUUUGAAAUAUUCAUGACCCAUAUAGCACCUAACGGCUGCCAUGGACAGCCGUGGUGUUGUAUGCCUC
rnacentral:snRNA from 1 species